rnacentral:rRNA from 1 species
AGCGAACGCUGGCGGCAGGCCUAACACAUGCAAGUCGAACGAACCUUUCGGGGUUAGUGGCGGACGGGUGAGUAACACGUGGGAACGUGCCUUUAGGUUCGGAAUAACUCAGGGAAACUUGUGCUAAUACCGAAUGUGCCCUUCGGGGGAAAGAUUAAUCGCCUUUAGAGCGGCCCGCGUCUGAUUAGCUAGUUGGUUGAGGUAAUGGCUCACCAAGGCGACGUUCAGUAGCUGGUCGGAGAGGAGGAUCAGCCAGAUUGGGACUGAGACACGGCCCAAACUCCUACGGAGAGCAGCAGUAGAGAGUCUUGUGCAAUGAAGGAAAACCUGACGCAGCCAUGCCGCGUGAAUGAGGAAGGUCGUAGGAUUGUAAAAUUCUUUCUCCGGAGACGAGAAUGACGGUACCCGGAAAAGAAGCCCCGGCUAACUACGUG